ACGGCCGGCGUGCGGGGGGCGGGAGGGUCGCGCUCGCCCUGAGUCCCCCCUGGUCCCUGUAGGAGCGGGCGGCCGUGAUCACUCGCGGUCCCUCAGUGCCGACGGCCGGCAUGAGACGGCGGGCGGCCCGAGGUCCCUCUGGGUCCCCCCUCCCCGGUCCCGACGGCCGGCCUGAGUGGGGCGGGCGGGCCGUGGCCACCCGUGAGUCCCGACGGACAGCACGAGUGGGGAGCGGGGUCUGUGGUCCCCUUCGGUCCCCCUCGGCCCUGGGCUGAGCCGGGCAGCCGUCCCAGCGUGUGUCCAGCCGACGUCACCGCUGGGACAGCCGUCGGAAAAGCAAGAAAGGUGCGGUCGACCCGGCCCAGGUGCGCAGAGCGGGCUCUCAAUGGACAGAUUCCUCCUGCAGCUUUAGCUUUCCAGGAAAGUGAAGCAGCUGGUGCAGAGUUCAUGCAGUACGGUCUCUCCUGGUGCAGAGUCGUGCAGUACGGUCUCCCCUGGUAGUGGCAUCUUGCUUCUGUUGGUGCAUUUAUCACGAGGACCGAACCAAUACGGACACAUUAGUGGACAUCAGAGAGCGGGACUCACACGGUUCCGGCCGUUUCUGGCCGGCUGCUUUCACUUCGCUUGGUGGCUCAUUUCUUAUUAGGACUGAAUAAUAUCCCCUGGUCUGCAAGGACCCCAGUUUAUUUACCCAUCACCUGCGAAGGAUGGCUCAGUCACUUCCAGGCUUAGGCGAUAAUGCGGAAACCUGCUAUAAACGUCUGUGUGUGGGUGUUUUUGUGGACAUCGUCUUCAGACCCUGUGGGUAAAUAGCAAGGGGUAGGACUGCUGGAUGGUGUGGUGAGUGUUUAGCUUUUGUAAAAAUCCCAGAGACCUGUCUUGGGGCAGGGAGUGCGAGUUCCUGCGGGCCGCCCCCUCCUCUGGCACCGAGCGUGGUGUCCUCAGCAUGUGGACAACCGUAGAGGUCUGGCCCUUCUUGUGGGUCUGUAGUGGUGUCUCAGCACAGUUUCUAAUUCGCAUCUCUCCGCUGACAGAUGGUGGAGAGCAUCUUCCCAUCAGCUUAUUUCCCAUCUGUGUGUCUGUGGGGAGAUGCUUGUUCAGGUCUUUGCCCAUUUUGUAAUUGAGUCGUUUGCUUGUUGUUGAGUUUUAACUUUGUGUAUUUUGGGAACCAGUGCUUUAUGUGUUUUGCUAUAUAUUUUAAUACAAAUGAAAUAAAUGCACAGAUGUGUAAAU